rnacentral:rRNA from 1 species
GACGAACGCUGGCGGCGUGCUUAACACAUGCAAGUCGAACGGAAAGGCCCUGCUUUUGUGGGGUGCUCGAGUGGCGAACGGGUGAGUAACACGUGAGUAGCCUGCCCUUGACUUUGGGAUAACUUCAGGAAACUGGGGCGAAUACCGGAUAGGAGCUCCUGCUGCAUGGUGGGGGUUGGAAAGUUUCGGCGGUUGGGGAUGGACUCGCGGCUUAUCAGCUUGUUGGUGGGGUAGUGGCUUACCAAGGCUUUGACGGGUAGCCGGCCUGAGAGGGUGACCGGCCACAUUGGGACUGAGAUACGGCCCAGACUCCUACGGGAGGCAGCAGUGGGGAAUAUUGCACAAUGGGCGGAAGCCUGAUGCAGCAACGCCGCGUGCGGGAUGACGGCCUUCGGGUUGUAAACCGCUUUCGCCUGUGACGAAGCGUGAGUGACGGUAAUGGGUAAAGAAGCACCGGCUAACUACGUG